GAUGAACGCUGGCGGCGUGCCUAAUACAUGCAAGUCGAGCGAACGGACGAGAAGCUUGCUUCUCUGAUGUUAGCGGCGGGCGGGUGAGUAACACGUGGAUAACCUACCUAUAAGACUGGGAUAACUUCGGGAAACCGGAGCUAAUACCGGAUAAUAUUUUGAACCGCAUGGUUCAAAAGUGAAAGACGGUCUUGCUGUCACUUAUAGAUGGAUCCGCGCUGCAUUAGCUAGUUGGUAAGGUAACGGCUUACCAAGACAACGAUGCAUAGCCGACCUGAGAGGGUGAUCGGCCACACUGGAACUGAGACACGGUCCAGACUCCUACGGGAGGCAGCAGUAGGGAAUCUUCCGCAAUGGGCGAAAGCCUGACGGAGCAACGCCGCGUGAGUGAUGAAGGUCUUCGGAUCGUAAAACUCUGUUAUUAGGGAGGAACAUAUGUGUAAGUAACUGUGCACAUCUUGACGGUACCUAAUCAGAAAGCCACGGCUAACUACGUG
rnacentral:rRNA from 1 species